rnacentral:rRNA from 1 species
UACGGAAGGCAGCAGUGGGGAAUAUUGCACAAUGGGCGCAAGCCUGAUGCAGCCAUGCCGCGUGUAUGAAGAAGGCCUUCGGGUUGUAAAGUACUUUCAGUCGUGAGGAAGGUGUUAAGGUUAAUAACCUUAGCAAUUGACGUUAGCGACAGAAGAAGCACCGGCUAACUCCGUGCCAGCAGCCGCGGUAAUACGGAGGGUGCGAGCGUUAAUCGGAAUUACUGGGCGUAAAGGGCACGCAGGCGGUUAAUUAAGUUGGAUGUGAAAUCCCCGGGCUUAACCUGGGAAUGGCAUUCAAGACUGGUUAGCUAGAGUCUUGUAGAGGGGGUAGAAUUCCAUGUGUAGCGGUGAAAUGCGUAGAGAUGUGGAGGAAUACCGGUGGCGAAGGCGGCCCCUGGCAAAGGACUGACGCUCAUGUGCGAAAGCGUGGGGAGCAAACGAGGGAUUAGAUACC